UACGAAGGGAGCUAGCGUUGUUCGGAAUCACUGGGCGUAAAGCGCACGUAGGCGGGCUUGUCAGUCAGGGGUGAAAUCCCGGGGCUCAACCUCGGAACUGCCCUUGAUACAGCAAGCCUUAGAGUCCGGAAGAGGUGGGUGGAAUUCCUAGUGUAGAGGUGAAAUUCGUAGAUAUUAGGAAGAACACCGGUGGCGAAGGCGGCCCACUGGUCCGGCACUGACGCUGAGGUGCGAAAGCGUGGGGAGCAAACAGG
rnacentral:rRNA from 1 species